AUCCGGCCGACGAGUCCCAAAUAGAACGAAGCGCGCAUCUUGGAU
rnacentral:hammerhead_ribozyme from 1 species